rnacentral:rRNA from 1 species
UUUUAUGAGAGUUUGAUCCUGGCUCAGGACGAACGCUGGCGGCGUGCCUAAUACAUGCAAGUAGAACGCUGAAGUCUGGUGCUUGCACUAGACGGAUGAGUUGCGAACGGGUGAGUAACGCGUAGGUAACCUGCCUCAUAGCGGGGGAUAACUAUUGGAAACGAUAGCUAAUACCGCAUAACAGUAUUUACCGCAUGGUAGAUAUUUGAAAGGAGCAAUUGCUUCACUAUGAGAUGGACCUGCGUUGUAUUAGCUAGUUGGUGAGGUGACGGCUCACCAAGGCUUCGAUACAUAGCCGACCUGAGAGGGUGAUCGGCCACACUGGGACUGAGACACGGCCCAGACUCCUACGGGAGGCAGCAGUAGGGAAUCUUCGGCAAUGGGGGCAACCCUGACCGAGCAACGCCGCGUGAGUGAAGAAGGUUUUCGGAUCGUAAAGCUCUGUUGUAAGAGAAGAACUGUGAGAAGAGUGGAAAGUUUCUCACUUGACGGUAUCUUACCAGAAAGGGACGGCUAACUACGUGCCAGCAGCCGCGGUAAUACGUAGGUCCCGAGCGUUGUCCGGAUUUAUUGGGCGUAAAGCGAGCGCAGGCGGUUUGAUAAGUCUGAAGUAAAAGGCUGUGGCUUAACCAUAGUACGCUUUGGAAACUGUCAAACUUGAGUGCAGAAGGGGAGAGUGGAAUUCCAUGUGUAGCGGUGAAAUGCGUAGAUAUAUGGAGGAACACCGGUGGCGAAAGCGGCUCUCUGGU